UACGUAGGUGGCAAGCGUUGUCCGGAUUUAUUGGGCGUAAAGAGCGUGUAGGCGGCCAUACAGGUCAGCUGUGAAAACUCGAGGCUCAACCUCGAGACGUCGGCUGAAACCGUAUGGCUAGAGUCCGGAAGAGGAGAGUGGAAUUCCCGGUGUAGCGGUGAAAUGCGCAGAUAUCGGGAAGAACACCCGUGGCGAAGGCGGCUCUCUGGGACGGUACUGACGCUGAGACGCGAAAGCGUGGGGAGCGAACAGG
rnacentral:rRNA from 1 species